UACGUAGGGGGCUAGCGUUGUCCGGAAUUAUUGGGCGUAAAGAGCGUGUAGGCGGCCAGGUAGGUCUGCUGUGAAAACUCGAGGCUCAACCUCGAGACGUCGGCGGAAACCAUCUGGCUAGAGUCCGGAAGAGGAGAGUGGAAUUCCUGGUGUAGCGGUGAAAUGCGCAGAUAUCAGGAAGAACACCCGUGGCGAAGGCGGCUCUCUGGGACGGUACUGACGCUGAGACGCGAAAAGCGUGGGGGAGCGAACAGG
rnacentral:rRNA from 1 species